AUAUAUAUGUGUGUAUAUACUUUUGUCUUUACCUUCUUCACCCUAUAAUAUAUCAUUAUUAUUUCCGAAAGGAAGUGCGGAAUGCAGCGUUUAAGUUUGACAACUCUUCUUCUACUCUUACUUCUUCUCUACAAUGUUGGUGUAGAGGUUAAGGCUCAGAAGUGCACAGAGGAAAUCCCUUCACCUGGGACACAGUUAUGCGACAAAGAGGGUUGCAGCGCUGAGUGUAAGAGAAGACACGGAAAUUUGACCAGUGGACGUUGUUUGUUCGUCGAUACUUGUGUUUGCACCUAUGCUUGUCGUGGAUAUUAAUCCUAUUCUACUGCAUUGGAAUCAAAUAAAAUCGAGAUUUUCAUUUA